GUGACUAUCGAAGGGAUUCCUCUUUCAACAGGGGUGGUUCUGAUUAUUAUAGUGGAGGCAACAACAACAACAGUGGGGGUGGUUAUGGUGGUGUUUCCGGUGGAUACGGAGGAGGAGGAGGAGGAUACGGUGGUUCAGGGGUGACUAGUGCAUGGGACUAACGUGUACGUUUUUAAAUUAUUUACAGUGUUUAGGUGAUGGGUAG
rnacentral:misc_RNA from 1 species